GACGAACGCUGGCGGCGCGCUUAACACAUGCAAGUCGAACGGAAAGGCCUGCUUUCCCUUGUGGAUUGCGGGUACUCGAGUGGCGAACGGGUGAGUAACACGUGAGUGAUCUGCCCCCAACUUGGGUAUAAGCCUGGGAAACUGGGUCUAAUUCCCGAUAGGACUGCAGGGUGGUGCCUGUGGUGGAAAACGAUUUUCUAGUGGUUGGGGAUGAGCUCGCGGCCUAUCAGCUUGUUGGUGGGGUAAUGGCCUACCAAGGCGGCGACGGGUAGCCGGAGUGAGAUGGUCGACGGUGACAGUGGGACUGGGAUACGGCCCAGACGCCUACGGGAAGCAGCAGUGGGGAAUAUUGGACAAUGAGCGGAAGCCUGAUGCAGCGAGGCCGCGUGGAGGAUGACGGGCUUCGGGUUGUAAACUCCUGGCGACCGCGAGGAAGCCACCUGGUUGGAAGGGUGGUGACGGUAGUGGUAGAAGAAGCACCGGCUAACUACGUG
rnacentral:rRNA from 1 species